rnacentral:rRNA from 1 species
GACGAACGCUGGCGGCGUGCUUAACACAUGCAAGUCGAACGGAAAGGCCCUGCUUUUGUGGGGUGCUCGAGUGGCGAACGGGUGAGUAACACGUGAGUAACCUGCCCUUGACUUUGGGAUAACUUCAGGAAACUGGGGCUAAUACCGGAUAGGAGCUCCUGCUGCAUGGUGGGGGUUGGAAAGUUUCGGCGGUUGGGGAUGGACUCGCGGCUUAUCAGCUUGUUGGGGGGGUAGUGGCUUACCAAGGCUUUGACGGGUAGCCGGCCUGGGAGGGUGACCGGCCACAUUGGGACUGGGAUACGGCCCAGACUCCUACGGGAGGCAGCAGUGGGGAAUAUUGCACAAUGGGCGGAAGCCUGAUGCAGCAACGCCGCGUGCGGGAUGACGGCCUUCGGGUUGUAAACCGCUUUCGCCUGUGACGAAGCGUGAGUGACGGUAAUGGGUAAAGAAGCACCGGCUAACUACGUG